rnacentral:rRNA from 1 species
UACGAAGGGAGCUAGCGUUGCUCGGAUUGACUGGGCGUAAAGGGCGCGUAGGCGGUUCGUACAGUCAGACGUGAAAUUCCUGGGCUCAACCUGGGGGCUGCGUUUGAUACGUGCGGACUUGAGUGCGGAAGAGGGUCGUGGAAUUCCCAGUGUAGAGGUGAAAUUCGUAGAUAUUGGGAAGAACACCGGUGGCGAAGGCGGCGACCUGGUCCGAUACUGACGCUGAGGCGCGAAAGCGUGGGGAGCAAACAGG